UCUUUGCCGCUCUCGGAUUGGACACUCACACCAGGCCUGGCCCCGGAUUCGGAAACGCUCCUGAGUGCUCCCUGGCCUUCGUUCGGGAUUGGCCGAGGACCUCGCGCUCGCUGUCUUUCUUAGCCUCUCAUUGGCUCCCGACAAGAACUUUUUCUGCCUUGGCUUCUAAUUGGUGGCUUUCGCCUGCACCUUCCACGGGUCUGGAAUGGCUGCCCCUUUCGGUAGCACGGACUCUGCGCCUCCUGAUUGGCCAAGGGAUGCGCGCACUCUGCGCGUUCCUUCGUCGAACGUGGCAGUGGGGAGGAGUUCCCAGUUUAGGGGCGGAGCUGCGGCUGCGCUUCCGAAACCCCUCGUGUUGCAUUCUGACUGGACCGCGUACCCAACUGGCACGCCCCCCGGCCCCCGGACCGGAAGUUGGGGUGACGCAAUUUCCGGCGCGCGUGUCAAGCGUGCGGCGGCGGCCGUGGAAGGUGGGGUUGGCCGCCUAGGGUCGGCGGUGGGCUCGGUGUGGGAUAGCCGGCCCGGUCCGACGCGCUCCGCGAGGUCACGCGAGACACUCACCGAGGCAUGGCGGCAGGGCCUGGGCAUGGGAAUCGUGCGCACAGUGCGAGGAAGCCUCGGAGGGGAUACGAGCACAGGGCGGGUGGUUAGGAGAAUGGGGCUGGAGAGACGGGCGGGAGGGGCGGGACCUGGGCCCCGGGGACCUGCCGGCUCCCAGGCCCCAGGAAGACGCUGCUCAUGCGUGGAGCGGCCGCAGGAAAGGUACUCCCCGCUAAGGCCUUCAGGGAGCGGCCCUUUGCCCUGUGCGAUCUCUUCCUUCCUUUCCCACGGGUUGCCAAAUCCUGUGACGCUGCCCCUUCUCUGGUGCUUCUCAGAUGCUCUGGUCGGCUCAGGAGACCUCGCAGCUGUUACACAGCUGUGGAAAUACCCUGGGCGCUGCUUCACUCCGAAGGCAGCAGCUGGGUUUGCCUCCCGACUCGACCCGCCACCGAGGCUCCUGAGCACUUGAAAUAUGGCCAGUCCACCUGAGACGGGCUGUGAGUGCGCAAUGCACAUCAAACUUCUAAGACUGAGUGUGCGGGGCCGAGUGCGGUGGCUCACGCCUGUAAUCCCAGCACUUUGGAAGGCCGAGGCGGGCGGAUCACGAGGUCAGGAGUUCGAGACCAGCCUGAUCAACAUGGUGAAACCCCCUCACCUCCCGUCUCUACUAAAAAUACAAAAAUUAACAGGGCCUGGUGGCGCGCGCCUGUAAUCCCAGCUACUCGGGAGGCUGAGGCAAGAGAAUCGCUUGAACCCAGGAGGCAGAGGUUGCAGUGAGCCGAGAUCGCGCCAUUGCACUCCAGCCUGGGCAACAGAGCGAGACUCCAUCUCAAAAAAAAAAAAAAAAAAGUGUGCGUGUAGGGGCUGGAGGACAGAAGGUACAGUAUUUCGUUAAUAACUUUACAUUGACUACUACAUGUUGAAAUAUUCUGUAUGCAUAUGUUGGAUUACAUAAUAAUAUUGAGGCCAGGUGCUGUGUGGCUCACUCCUGUAAUCCCACCACUUUUGGAGACCGAGGCAGGAGGAUCCCUUCAGCCCAGGAGUUCGAGACCAGCCUGGGCAACAUAGUGAGACUCCCGUCUCUACAAAAAAUAAAUUAAAAAAAUUAGCCAGGCACGGUGGUGUGCACCUGUGGUCCCAGCUACUUGGGAGGUGGAGGUGGGAGAAUCAUUUGAGCCCAGGAGGCUGAGGCUGCGGUGAGCCAUGAUCCCACCACUGCACUCCAGCCUGGGCGACAGAUCGACACCCUAUCUCAAAAAAUAGUAAAAAAAUGUCCUUUUUUUAAAAUUUUU
rnacentral:lncRNA from 1 species